rnacentral:rRNA from 1 species
UGGGGAAUAUUGGACAAUGGGCGAAAGCCUGAUCCAGCCAUGCCGCGUGUGUGAAGAAGGCCUUUUGGUUGUAAAGCACUUUAAGCGAGGAGGAGGCUACUUGGAUUAAUACUCUAGGAUAGUGGACGUUACUCGCAGAAUAAGCACCGGCUAACUCUGUGCCAGCAGCCGCGGUAAUACAGAGGGUGCGAGCGUUAAUCGGAUUUACUGGGCGUAAAGCGUGCGUAGGCGGCUUUUUAAGUCGGAUGUGAAAUCCCUGAGCUUAACUUAGGAAUUGCAUUCGAUACUGGGAAGCUAGAGUAUGGGGGAGGAUGGUAGAAUUCCAGGUGUAGCGGUGAAAUGCGUAGAGAUCUGGAGGAAUACCGAUGGCGAAGGCAGCCAUCUGGCCUAAUACUGACGCUGAGGUACGAAAGCAUGGGGAGCAAACAGG